GUAAUGCCGGAUGCUCCAGUUGAUCGCAUGGUCUUCUGGGAAAGCUUUCGCGGUAUGGGAUGGGGUCGCGUCCUAUCAGCUUGACGGCGGGGUAACGGCCCACCGUGGCUUCGACGGGUAGCCGGCCUGAGAGGGCGACCGGCCACAUUGGGACUGAGAUACGGCCCAGACUCCUACGGGAGGCAGCAGUGGGGAAUAUUGCACAAUGGGCGCAAGCCUGAUGCAGCGACGCCGCGUGAGGGAUGGAGGCCUUCGGGUUGUAAACCUCUUUUAUCGGGGAGCAAGCGAGAGUGAGUUUACCCGUUGAAUAAGCACCGGCUAACUACGUGCCAGCAGCCGCGGUAAUACGUAGGGUGCAAGCGUUAUCCGGAAUUAUUGGGCGUAAAGGGCUCGUAGGCGGUUCGUCGCGUCCGGUGUGAAAGUCCAUCGCUUAACGGUGGAUCCGCGCCGGGUACGGGCGGGCUUGAGUGCGGUAGGGGAGACUGGAAUUCCCGGUGUAACGGUGGAAUGUGUAGAUAUCGGAAAAGAAACAC
rnacentral:rRNA from 1 species